rnacentral:rRNA from 1 species
GACGAACGCUGGCGGCGUGCCUAACACAUGCAAGUCGAACGGAAAGGCCCUGCUUUUGUGGGGUGCUCGAGUGGCGAACGGGUGAGUAACACGUGAGUAACCUGCCCUUGACUUUGGGAUAACUUCAGGAAACUGGGGCUAAUACCGGAUAGGAGCUCCUGCUGCAUGGUGGGGGUUGGAAAGUUUCGGCGGUUGGGGAUGGACUCGCGGCUUAUCAGCUUGUUGGUGGGGUAGUGGCUUACCAAGGCUUUGACGGGUAGCCGGCCUGAGUGGGUGACAGGCCACAUUGGGACUGAGAUGCGGCCCAGACUCCUACGGGAGGCAGCAGAGGAGAAUAUUGCACAAUGGGCGGAAGCCUGAUGCAGCAGCGCCGCGUGCGGGAUGACGGCCUUCGGGUUGUAAACCGCUUUCGCCUGUGACGAAGCGUGAGUGACGGUAAUGGGUAAAGAAGCACCGGCUAACUACGUG